UCUAUUUAAUGAGCAGAGGAAUUUAUUUGGGGGUUAACUCACAAGACAGAAUAAAGGAAUUUGUCACAGGAUCUUGGAAGGGUGAGGCACCAUCCAAUGCUGUUCUCUGGCGAGCUGUGCCCUGGUCCAUUCCAGCAUCCAAAGCCAUGAGG